GUGCUCGCUUCGGCAGCACAUAUACUAAAAUUGGAACGAUUCAAAGAAGAUUAACAUGGCCCCUGCACAAGGAUGACAUGCAAAUUCAUGAAGCGUUCCAUAUUUCU
ensembl:snRNA U6 U6 spliceosomal RNA